AAAAUAUACUCCCACUGUGUCAUUCUUCAACAAUGUCCAAUCAAAAUACUCACUCUGAUGUAAUGUGCUAAGGUAAAUGCCACUGAAUGAAAAGAUAUUUUGCUUGAUAAUACAUCAAUUCUUCACACACUUUGUGCAUGCAUGCAGUUCAGUAUUUAAUGUACUCAGAAAACAUGUACAAGAUACGACAUGUGGGGGUUAACUCAUACCAUAAUUUAUUCAAAACAAAAUGAAGCAUCCCAAAUGGUGUUGGUGUAUGCAACAUUUUGAAAAUCAGUUACAUGGCUUGUGGAAAAGUUUCCAAACUGACAGAAUUAUAAUGGCUGUGCGAACGGAUUUGUCCCGAAACAAAUUGGGGUAAGGAACAAGUUCGUGACUGCAAAUAAAUACACCUGCACCCCCCUCGCCCCUGUGUUCUUCCCCACAAGAUCAUUUCACAAAGCUCUUGCCACUUGGUGAACACUGACGCAUACCUGGGACAUCCUGCGGUUCUUCAAGAAAUCCAAAUCUAUCACAUUACCAUAUGGAUUAUACUUACAUUUUUCAGCGGGUAUACCAGUAAAUGGGACAAACGUAUCAUACAUGCGUACAAAGGAAAAUCAGAUUUUAAAGGGCAAUUUUCAGACUGCACAUAACACAUAAAUGCUUUUUUUAAUGGCACAGGAUUUGAUAAAAAACAAAAAAACAAUGGACCUACUGUCCCAUUUUAUCUUUUCAAAAACUGGUAGAUGGGGUGUGACUCUCGUGAUUCAUCUUUCCGAUGAAGUGAACGUCUCUGCAAAUGGAUUUGUUUGGACAAGGCAAGGUUAUCUAAACAAGUAAAACGAGAUAAACACUCACACGCAAGAAUUUCGCAUAUUCCAAAGCAAAUGAGGAAAUAAAAAAGUAGCUUCAUGAAAGUAUUGAAAGAACGUAUUGCACAAGAACAACAUUUGGGGAAAAUUUUAUCAUAAAAAGGCUUUAAAUGACCUUCGUCAUAGGUAUGUAGGGGCGGGGAAGCAGUUUUUAAAGCUGGAUUUGCAAGCACGUACAAGUUGGAGGUGACUUUCCUUCUGUUGGCAACUUUUUCCAUUUGCAUGCAGCGUCACAGCUAAAUGCCUCUUCACCAUGUUUGCUUUGAACUCUGACCUCCAGGAGAUACAUGUUGAAAUGGACAUAACUCAAAGAAUAUUUCCUGCGAAACAAUGCGAUUUUUGUUGCUGCCUUUCAAUAGAAAAGUUUAGGAAGAGGACUCUUAACCAUCAGUCAUCACUUUCGCAAUAAAUUCUCUUCCUUUUCUUCCAUUCUUUGUUUAUCAACCACCCUGAAAAUGGAUCGCUCACAAAAAUACGGUAUAACACGACGUAGGAAUAUCUUCAAGACUUUGGACACUUUAAUGAUGCCCAAAGCGGUGUCGUCCUGCGUCAUCUCUGACCCUGCUGAUGUGGUGUUGUCACAAACACAAACAUGCCCUCCCAUUUCCCCAACAGAUAAGGGGAAAAAAAAUAAAUAAACGGACCAUAGAUUCCUCCUUGCCACAUUCCUGAAGAAUCAGAGGUAAGGUAGAAGACCAGUUCUGGCUCAAGAGCAUCCCUUCUCCAAUCUCACGUACGAGUUCACAACUAUACUUGACGGCUUCAAAUGAGAGUGAAAAGGGAACACGGUUAAUCCUCUGAAACAUUUGAUCCAUGAGCAGUCAAACAAAACCAAAAGACAUUGUGUUGACUUAAGGCAUUAAAAGACUAGAUUUUAAUGAGUGAAAAGGUAAUUAACAUUCCCCGUUUGAAAGGGAAAAUGGCAUCUUGCAUCAAACAAAAUAUCACGUGACUUAAUAGUCACGGUGGAGUUUGUUCUGAAAGUUUUUUUUUUUUGGGUCCUAUUCCUUUGUCGCUGGAUAGUUUUUGAAACAUGAUUAACAUCUAAAACAUGUCGUGUGACAUCUGCAUAAACUGGUUUAAUCACACACAAGUUCGGAUCAAAUCGGAAUUUAUGGGUCAUUUCCAUGAAGGCAUUGUGGCAGACUACUAAGAUGUCAUGAUUAUCUUUCACCUGAACAAGUCGCUGAUUAUUUCUCUUUCUUAAAAAAAA